AUUGAACGCUGGCGGCAAGCCUCAUACAUGCAAGUCGAGCGAGAACGUUACUUCGGUAGCUAGUAAAGCGGCGGACGGGUGAGUAACGCGUAGGAAUCUACCUUUCAGCGGGGGAUAGCUCGGGGAAACCCGAAUUAAUACCGCAUACACCCUAAGGGGGAAAGAGGGCCUAUCCUUGGAAGCUCUCGCUGUUAGAUGAGCCUGCGUGAGAUUAGUUUGUUGGUGGGGUAAUGGCCUACCAAGACUACGAUCUCUAGCUGGUCUGAGAGGACGAUCAGCCACACUGGAACUGAGACACGGUCCAGACUCCUACGGGAGGCAGCAGUGAGGAAUAUUGGACAAUAGGCGAAAGCCUGAUCCAGCGACGUCACGUGAAUGAUGAAGGCCUUAGGGUUGUAAAAUUCUUUUAGUGGAGAAGAUAAUGACGGUAUCCACAGAAAAAGUCCCGGCUAACUUCGUGCCAGCCGCCGCGGUAAAAC
rnacentral:rRNA from 1 species